rnacentral:rRNA from 1 species
CCUACGGGAGGCAGCAGUGGGGAAUAUUGGGCAAUGGAGGAAACUCUGACCCAGCAACGCCGCGUGAAUGAUGAAGGUCUUCGGAUUGUAAAGUUCUUUUCUAAGGGAAGAAGAAAGUGACGGUACCUUAGGAAUAAGCCUCGGCUAACUACGUGCCAGCAGCCGCGGUAAUACGUAGGAGGCAAGCGUUAUCCUGAAUGACUGGGCGUAAAGGGGGCGUAGGUGGUUUGACAAGUUGGUAGCGUAACUCCGGGGCUCAACCUCGGCACUACUACCAAAACUGUCGGACUUGAGUGCAGGAGGGGCAAAUGGAAUUCCUAGUGUAGCGGUGGAAUGCGUAGAUAUUAGGAGGAACACCAGUGGCGAAGGCGAUUUGCUGGACUGUAACUGACACUGAGGCACGAAAGCGUGGGGAGCAAACAGGAUUAGAUACCCCUGUAGUC